rnacentral:rRNA from 1 species
AGAGUUUGAUCAUGGCUCAGGACGAACGCUGACGACCGGCGCACGGGUGAGCAACGCGUAUACAAUCUGCCUUUUGGCGGGGGACAGCCCGGGGAAACCCGGAUUAACCCCCCAUGGCGCCCUUUAGCGGCAUCGCUUCGGGGCCAAACGUUUAUGGCCAAAAGAUGGGUAUGCGUCCCAUUAGCUAGUUGGUAAGGUAACGGCUUACCAAGGCAUCGAUGGGUAGGGGCCCUGAGAGGGGCAUCCCCCACACUGGUACUGAGACACGGACCAGACUCCUACGGGAGGCAGCAGUGAGGAAUAUUGGACAAUGGGCGCAAGCCUGAUCCAGCCAUGCCGCGUGCAGGAAGACGGCCCUACGGGUUGUAAACUGCUUUUGCACGGGAAGAACGGCCACGCACGCGUUGCGUGGAUUGACGGUACCGUGAGAAUAAGGAUCGGCUAACUCCGUGCCAGCAGCCGCGGUAAUACGGAGGAUCCGAGCGUUAUCCGGAAUCAUUGGGUUUAAAGGGUCCGCAGGCGGGGUGGUAAGCCAGUGGUGAAAGUCGGUAGCUCAACUAUCGAACUGCCAUUGGAACUGCCGUCCUUGAGUCGCCGUGGAGUGGUCGGAACAUGCAGUGUAGCGGUGAAAUGCAUAGAUAUUGCAUAGAACACCGAUCGCGAAGGCAGAUCACUAACGGCGCACUGACGCUGAUGGACGAAAGCGUGGGUAGCGAACAGGAUUAGAUACCCUGGUAGUCCACGCCGUAAACGAUGGUCACUAGCUGCCC